rnacentral:rRNA from 1 species
UACGAAGGGUGCAAACGUUGCUCGGAAUUAUUGGGCGUAAAGCGCACGUAGGCGGCUUGGCAAGUCGGAUGUGAAAUCCCUCGGCUCAACCAAGGAAGUGCAUCCGAAACUGCUGAGCUUGAGUACGAAAGAGGAUCGCGGAAUUCCCGGUGUAGAGGUGAAAUUCGUAGAUAUCGGGAGGAACACCAGUGGCGAAGGCGGCGAUCUGGGUCGAUACUGACGCUGAGGCGCGAAAGCUAGGGGAGCAAACGGG